AUGAACGCUGGCGGCGUGCUUAACACCUGCCAGUCGAACGAUGAAGCCCAGCUUGCUGGGUGGAUUAGUGGCGAACGGGUGAGUAACACGUGAGUAACCUGCCCUUAACUCUGGGAUAAGCCUGGGAAACUGGGUCUAAUACCGGAUAGGAGCGCCUACCGCAUGGUGGGUGUUGGAAAGAUUUAUCGGUUUUGGAUGGACUCGCGGCCUAUCAGCUUGUUGGUGAGGUAAUGGCUCACCAAGGCGACGACGGGUAGCCGGCCUGAGAGGGUGACCGGCCACACUGGGACUGAGACACGGCCCAGACUCCUACGGGAGGCAGCAGUGGGGAAUAUUGCACAAUGGGCGAAAGCCUGAUGCAGCGACGCCGCGUGAGGGAUGACGGCCUUCGGGUUGUAAACCUCUUUCAGUAGGGAAGAAGCGAAAGUGACGGUACCUGCAGAAGAAGCACCGGCUAACUACGUG
rnacentral:rRNA from 1 species